rnacentral:rRNA from 1 species
AAAUUGAAGAGUUUGAUCAUGGCUCAGAUUGAACGCUGGCGGCAGGCCUAACACAUGCAAGUCGAGCGGAAACGAGUUAUCUGAACCUUCGGGGGACGAUAACGGCGUCGAGCGGCGGACGGGUGAGUAAUGCCUAGGAAAUUGCCUUGAUGUGGGGGAUAACCAUUGGAAACGAUGGCUAAUACCGCAU